rnacentral:rRNA from 1 species
AGCAGUAGCCGCGGUAACACGAAGGGUGCAAGCGUUAAUCGGAAUUACUGGGCGUAAAGCGUGCGUAGGCGGUUUGUUAAGUCUGCUGUGAAAUCCCCGGGCUCAACCUGGGAAUGGCAGUGGAUACUGGCAAGCUAGAGUGUGUCAGAGGAUGGUGGAAUUCCCGGUGUAGCGGUGAAAUGCGUAGAGAUCGGGAGGAACAUCAGUGGCGAAGGCGGCCAUCUGGGACAACACUGACGCUGAGGCACGAAAGCGUGGGGAGCAAACAGGAUUAGAUACCCGCGUAGUCCCUGUCUCUUAUAC